AUCAAUACAAAUGUAUUUUAUGUAUCUUAGAAUUAUUAUGUGGUCUUCUAUAUUUUGCUUUUUUUAUUUACUUGGUACAGCAUGAGCUAACAAAGGAAGACAUUCAUGAACUGCCCAAGGCCAAUGCCCUGUUUUUAGAAGGCAUGUUCCCCAUACCUGGCUUCUGGCUACCACCUUAUAAGAAGCAAGCAGUGACAGCUCCCAGUCCCGAGCCAUUUGCUGAACUGGGCACUUUUCCACCAUGUUCUAGCAUCCUCUAUGGCAUAGUCAUUAAAAGCCCAGAUUCUGGAUUCAGACUGCCUGGGUGGGAAAUCUGUCACAGCAAAUUUGCUCCGAAUCUCCAUUUCCUCAGCUGUAGAACAGGCAUGCAGAGAGUUCAGCACUCCGAAUACCCUGCUCCCCAAUUUGUUAUGAAGAUCAAAUGAAUGAAUCCAGGUAAUGCACUUGGAACAUUUCCUGUCACAGAAUGAGCAGAAAAUAAAUAUUGGACAUGACCACACUCAAUGUAGGUUCUGCCUGCUUUAAAUACUCUUUCACAUGAUUUUAAAUGUCUUAGGGACCUUUUCACCCCAUGCCUAACAAACCACAUGGAUAUAGUACAUGCACAGUCAGUAAUCACUGAGUGAAUGAAUAAAUGAAUGAAACAUGUAUUGAAGCAGUGCCUGAAAUAUGACACAUUCCAAUUUCUGCCUCAAAUUAGAGAUGGCCUAAAAGACUAAGGUCAUUUCUAAGAGUCUUUCUUUAAAGAAUUACUAAUUCACAUUCUAUCAAUUUAUGGAUUCAUAGCUUGACUUAUUAUUUGUGAGCUAAUUUGUGAAUUAUUAUUUGUGACCCGAUCUGUGAAUUAUUUGUGAGCUAAUUUGUGAAUUAUCAUUUGUGAGCUGAUUUGUGAAUUAUUAUCUGUGAGCUGAUUUGUGAAUUAUUAUUUGUGAGCUGACUCACAAAUAAUCUGACAACUAGGCCACAGUCGCUAAAAGAAAAAAAAAAUGUGCUUGUUUUAUUUAAAGUGUAUUAAAGUAGUGACUAUAGGUAAAUAUUUUAAAAUAUAUAAAUCAUAUGACCAUGAAAUGUCAGGGGACAUUCUGAAAGCCCCCUGUUAAGAAGUCCCCCGUGUAAGUAAGAUAGGCUCUAGGUCCAUUUAAUCAAAGGAAGUACGAACGUGUGCAACACAACGUGUUAGUUGUGGACACUAAAGGUCUUCAGGUGGUACUAGUGAUGCACUGUUAUGUAGUGUCAGCUUUUACAUUUAAUCCCCACAUAAUCAUGGGAGGGAAAUGUUAUUAUCAUAUUAUAUGGAAGUAGAAAAAUGCAGACGCUGAUUCAAAGCCAAGUUUCUCUUCAGGGACUUUCAAAUUGCCAUUUUUGUUUUAUCCUAGAAGUAUGCUUCUUAAUCUCUUUUUCAAAUUUGGUUCACAAAGGCAUACAGCAGGUUUACUGUGUGUGUGUUUAUUGAUACAUCAUAACUGUACAUAUUUAUGGGGUACAUGUGAUAUUUUGAUACACACAUAUAAUGUACAAUGAUCAAAUGAGGGUAAUUAGUAUACCCAUCACCUUGAACAUUUAUCAUUUAUGUGUGUCAAAAACAUUUCAAAUCUUUUCUUCUACCUAUUAGGAAAUUUACAAUAUACUCUGGCCAGGAAUGGUGACUGAUGCCUGUAAUCCCAGCACUUUGGGAGGCCGUGGCAGGUGGAUCACUUAAGGGCAGGAGUUCAAGACCAACCCGGCCAACAUAGUGAAACCCUGUCUCUACUA